AAAACAAGUAGCUUGAUAAUGCCGAUCAGUCCACAUGUGUUUUGGUUUUGUUGUUCUAUCUGAAGCCAUCUCCUCAUUUCCAGCCCUUUGAGCGGCAAUAUGACUCACUGACUCAUGCUUUCGACCUCCAGCGUUGCACAGCUAGUUCCCAACACAAAGGCCCCCGGACCAGAUAAAGGAUCACUAUAACACUUCUCUGUUCCAUUGAAUGAAACCCCUUUGGACAGCUAAUACCCCAGAGAAGAUGAAAACGUACAGGCUGGCUCCAUUAUUGAUACAGGUCUGUGCUAGUGGAAGAAGUGGAUGCUAAUUGUAUUAUACGCCACAAAGUACUGCACUGCAUAAACUGAAAUCGAGCCAAGAUGCGCUGUUUGCAGUGCUGUCCCUGAUCUGAACUGAGCCUGGUGGGAAUGACAAAAGCUCGGGGAGAGAGGAGGGGUAGAGAUAUACUGGCUGUCGCCUUACAAGACCCUGGCACCCCAUCGCAGUCCUGCCCUUUUCCAUCUGACAACUUCAUUAAUUUUCUGUCAUGGUGGCUGUGGUUGAUUUUCAGCAGAUAGGUUCGACAACAAUAGCUGACAAAACUGGAUGUAAGAUGGAUGCCUGGUAGUUGAGUUGCGAGUUGGUUCUUUGUAUGAGCACAGAGAAGCGCAAAGGUCCCAUUGCACCUGCUCAAAUCCACUGCUUCGGGAAACUAGGAAGAAAGUCUUUGUUAGAAAACCUGUCACGAUAAUUACUAUAUUGACUUAUUGCUCAGUAUAUGAAAGAUGGGAGAAUAUUUUUGGAGGGUCAGUAUUGAUCAUGUGUACAUUUUCUUUGCACUACUUGGAAGUUUUUGGUUAUUUUUUUGGCCGUAUAAUAAGAUUUAGAGGUGCACUGUUUAACUUUUUGGUUGGGGGUCCAUCACCUGCUGGUUUCUAUGAAUAUUUCAUUGCUCGAGCGUUACAAAUGUUCCACAAUAUAACAUUAAACAAAUGUAUCUUAUAUUUAUUCAAUAAGAGGGUUUCGGUAACGUGAUCAUGAUGAUGCACGAAUUUCAGGUGGAGGGCAGGAAGUGAAGACUAACACGACAAACACAGCUUUGGAGAAUACAGAUAUGGAGAAGAGUUCUUAUUGUAAGGAUUUAGAGCCAGUAGCAAGGCAAAGGUGCGAGCAGUUAAUUGACAAAUAUAUUGGACGUGACCCCAUCUUAUGAAAAUGAGUGAAGUAAAAGAUUUGCCAACAAUCAAGGCAGUGGAUAUCACGAACUACCUAGUUCUACAGACAUCGUUCUACACCAGACAACAGAUGAAGGUGUACAAAAGUUUGGAGGCAUAUAACUUUUUUUGUCAGUGGAUGGGUCCACAACCUUGGUGCGAAACACCUUCAUGAUGAUGAUCGUUUGGUCUUCGCCAGGGUGAGUGUUUCUCUUAUUUUAUGUGUAUAGACUGUUAUGGAAAAAACUGCAGUGCAUCAGCAGUAACCUCUAUCUGAACUAUUUAAUGUCAACAAAUGUCGUUAGCCGUUAGUCGUUAAUGUUUCGUUAAUGUUUAGGUAAACCACAAAAAACAAUUUAGCUUUGUAACAUACCUUUGACGAAGUGGUCACUGCAGACACGAGCAUUUGCGGAUUCUGCUCCUCCUGACCGCAAAUGUAGGUUUGUAAUCCACUUUUUAUGGUUGUUCUGUCAACUUUUCCCAUUUCUGACCUUUGUGGAUGACUCUCUUCGGUACUCUAAAAAAAACGCUUUUCCUUCUCUCGGUUAGAAAGAUUGGCACAGCCGUAAACUACACAACACAUAGACAUUUUCCAGACAAAGACGCAACAGUGUUUCACAAGCUUCCUCCAGUCAGUUCACUUCCUGCCCUCCAUCUGAUUUUGCGCACUGACAACCGUAGCCCUGUGACGUCACGUGAAACCCAGCUAUUACUGGAGAAAUACUUAGAAAAACACACAUUCUGACUGUGAACGGGGUUGCCGUGACUUGGUAUGGUAACUUGGUCUGGUUGGGUCUUCAUGAAGAUAAAAAUGUUUAAUCCCAUACUGUGAAACAUUUCAGACAAAGUAAUAAUAAAGCAUUUGAAGGGCCCUCCAAAAGAAAAGUUUCACAAUGCAGUUUUGAUUCAGGUCAUUUUA